UAGAGUUUUCUAAACUCCCAACCCUUUGUGAACUUACCUUUGUUGCCUCGGCAGGACCUACCCGGUACCGACCCCUUUUGGGCGAAGCUACCCUGUAGCCUGCCGGUGGAUUUUCAAACUCUUGUAUUUUUUUGUUAUCUGAGCGUCUUAUUUUAAUAAGUCA
rnacentral:misc_RNA from 1 species